rnacentral:tRNA from 1 species
GAAUUGAGUGAAAUCAGAAUAAAGCUUCUAACUUUUUUUCUAAGCGGCGUAACUCCGUUUUUAAUUCG